CGAAACUCAGGCAGCAAAUCCUCACCUGGAAGCAAUGAUGCUAACUUAAACAAUGCUUUUAAAUGAACCUUGGAUCUGGUCAGCAACAUUGAUUUGGUUUUGACUGAUCAAAAAAACCUUUGACUGACUCAAAAAACCUUCCAUCUUCUCGGUAUUUUCCACUUUCACUGUCUACACUGUCCUGCCCUGCAUAAAUCUUAUUUAAAAGCUAAUUUCAACACAGCAUGUGCACUUAGUGUACACUGAUCAGUGAUGAGUCAUGUUCAGCUUGAUAAGGAAAUGAAUGAAAGCCCUUACAAUUUAAAAAGACUCAGUGUUCCCAUGGCUAGACCACACAGGAAAGCUGUGUUGGAAAGCUCUAAUUUCCAAUUUCCAAGUCCCUCUAUUGUUUCUGUCAGGUGGACCUGUUUUCCUUGCAAAACGUCAAGCAAUUUUCCUAUAUUUCAGCAAUAUGCUCUGCAGACACUGGAGUUUUUCAGUUCCCUAUUCAGGUCAAAGAGAUUUCAUAAGGUCUGUAGCUAGUGUACACAAGUCUGAAAAGGAAUAAUCAGUUAUCUCAGCAUCUCAGGAAUAGGCAAGGCUCUGUCAAGACUCUUCCUCUGUGUUACAAGUACCCAUGUGCUCUUGUAAGACCUUGUGCCAGAGUACGCUGUAACUUGCAAGAAGACAUUAAACUGGAAAAUAAAAUGUCGUCCCACUUCCAGUGCUGAAGAAGCAGCUUUCAGAUUCCAAGCUGCAGAUGGUGGUCCUGUGCAACUGGUGACAACGAAUACCAGCAGACUUCUGAAUCAGGUUUGCCAGCAGUGUAUGACAGUGUUGUGUCCAUGUGUGCUGUUGUACAUCAAUGGGAAGGACUCAAGAACUUACAGUCUUUCAGGCUGGCCAUAUGAGAUCCUGUGGGCAUCCACCAUGACUGCAGUCAAGAACACUACGCAAGUCAAGAACAAAGAGCUGGAAAUAGCAGCCCUCCGUAUCCGCAGCACGGAGGAAGGGGCGCUGUGCCCGGGCACAGCGCAGCCGUGGCACCCGUGGGUUCGGUCCCUCGCUGCUUGCGCUGCCAGCAGAGCCUCGGAUCCCCCUCAGCCUGUCUGGGCUCGGUGCGUAUUGGAAUUUCAUCUCCCCAGUCUGCUCCUGCAGACUUUUUUUUUUUUUAAUUCAUGUGGAAAAAAAAUAAUAAUGAGAGGGUAAAAUAAGCGGAGCGAGAGCGAGCAUCAAUAGCCCCAGCCCGUAGGCUCAGCGCCUUCCUGCAGAGCUCCCGCAGCAGGGCCCCGCUCAGCCCCGGCGCUGCCGCAGGGCCCCGGGCAGGGGCAGCACCCAGGGGUGCUGGGCGGGGGCUGAGCCCCGCUCCCUGCCCCGAGCCUUAGGGCCACGGCCGGGGGCGCUGGCACAGCCCCG
rnacentral:lncRNA from 1 species